rnacentral:tRNA from 1 species
GCGGGCGUGGUGAAAUUGGUAUACACACCGGACUUAAAAUCCGGAGGCUUCGGCCAUGCGGGUUCAAGUCCCGCCGCCCGCA